rnacentral:rRNA from 1 species
AGCGAACGCUGGCGGCAUGCCUAACACAUGCAAGUCGCACGGGGGGGCUUCGGCCUCCCAGUGGCGGACGGGUGAGGAACGCGUAGGGACCUGUCGAGGGGUGGGGGAUAACCGCGGGAAACUGCGGCUAAUACCGCAUGACGCCGCGGCGUGACAGCCGGGGCCAAAGGCGAAAGCCGCCCGCCGAGGGGCCUGCGUCCGAUUAGCUGGGUGGCGGGGUAGCGGCCCACCAAGGCGUCGAUCGGUAGCUGGUCUGAGAGGGUGAUCAGCCACACCGGGACUGAGACACGGCCCGGACUCCUACGGGAGGCAGCAGUGGGGAAUAUUGGACAAUGGGCGCAAGCCUGAUCCAGCAAUGCCGCGUGGGUGAAGAAGGUCUUCGGAUUGUAAAGCCCUUUCGGCGGGGACGAUGGUGACGGUACCCGCAGAAGAAGCCCCGGCUAACUUCGUG